rnacentral:other from 1 species
ACCCUACUGUGUACGUAAAUGGUCUCGAUGUUUUGAACCAACACUUUUUACAUUGGGAGUUCGGUCUCUAUAAUGCGAGGCAAUGCCUUCAUUGGACUGCCGACCCUUAUAGGAGGACACCCACCUGCUUAGGCAGGCUCAAAACUCGGUUUAUAAACGGCAUGGUGGGGCU